rnacentral:rRNA from 1 species
UGGGUACUGAGACAACGACCCAGGCCUUACGAGGCGCAGCAGGCGCGAAACCUCCACAAUACACGAAAGUGUGAUGGGGUUACCCAAAGUGUUCAAUAUUGAACUGUGGUAGGUGAGUAAUGUUCCCUACUAGAAAGGAGAGGGCAAGGCUGGUGCCAGCCGCCGCAGUACAACCAGCUCUUCAAGUGGUCGGGAUAAUUAUUGGGCUU